GUGUAUAAUUUAAACAGAAAAUAAGCAAACAGAACACACUCUUCAUUUGAGUGGGGUUCUAUUUAAAUCAAAUAAAUCGGGUCCAAUGUUUUAAUCAGUCCUCAAGUAAGUUGAAGGAAGAGUUUGCAAUUUAAAAAAAAAAAAAA